UACAGAGGGUGCAAGCGUUGUUCGGAAUUAUUGGGCGUAAAGCGCGUGUAGGCGGCUUUGCAAGUCGGGUGUGAAAUCCCUCAGCUUAACUGAGGAAGUGCGCCCGAAACUGCUUUGCUUGAGUGCCGGAGAGGAUGGCGGAAUUCCCCAAGUAGAGGUGAAAUUCGUAGAUAUGGGGAGGAACACCGGUGGCGAAGGCGGCCAUCUGGACGGUAACUGACGCUGAGACGCGAAAAGCGUGGGGAGCAAACAGG
rnacentral:rRNA from 1 species